ACCUUCCCUAGCGACUAAAAAUCCUAUCUAGCAACUAGCAACAAAUCUGGUGACUUAUAUUCCACAUAAACCGGUCAGUUUAGUAAAAAUGGUAUUGUUUGGAAUGUUCUGGAAUUGGGGCUAGAAAAGACAG